ACCGCCUAGGCGCCCGCCUAGCUACUACCCAGCCGCCUAGCCACCGCCUAGUGCUUGCCCAGCCACCGCCUUGCCGCUGCCUAGCGCUAGCCUCCCGCCUAGGCUGACUUUUCAAACACUGCGAUUGAGUGAAAGUCUCGAAAUUGAAAAAAUUUAGCCGCAAAUUUGAGCUUGAGAUCGGGAAGCCGAGGCAGUGAUGAAGCACAAAUCAGGUCUAUAGAAGAACAGAUCAUGAGACUCUUAAUUCAUCUAAUUCCAUUCCUCUCCCUGUUUGUUGCCUUAUAUUCUUCUCUCUUCGCACUGACGACAUGGCGCAGAAGAAAAAAAUGCAACAUUUGCUGACUUGUCUGUCUUCUGUGGAAGGAAAUGAUGAUGUUGAUGGAGUUUCUGUGGUCUUGCCAAUGACAAGGUUUUUCUGUGUUGAAAUGAGACUGAACAUAUAGUGGAAUAAAUACAAAUUUCAUGUCCAAAAAAAUGUCAGGAAGCAAAGUGUUGCUAACGUAUAAGCAAAAGCGGCAAUCAAGAACAGAUCCUGUACAGGGACAUGAGUGCCGUAAUUCACUUUUUGUUGCUCCCGAUGAUACUUCUUUAAGCAAACCACCAGACUUGCAAGUUCAUUUGAUUGAUAAGCGUUCAUCAGAAAAUUACAACAGAAAUUCUGCGGUAUGCCAUGUAUGUUUUGUGUGCUGUGUUGGGGGUAACCUGAAGCACUGUGGAAAAUGCCUUCAGUCGUAUCAUCUCCAAUGCCUAGAUAAACCCCGUAAGGAAAAGAAACACAUUGAAGUGUCUGGCACAAGACAAAUACCAAUUAAAACCGUUCCGACAAGUCUUGAUGAGGUUCCUUCCCGAAGAGAUGCAUAUGGGAAUAAGUCUAGUGGCAAGAAAGUAGGCUCAUCUUCAAAUGCUAAUGCUGGAGCAUUGGUUGAUGAUAAUAAUGUUGGAGGGAGGUUAGUUUCUCAAUUGGUGAUGAAUUCCGCUGUAAUUACUGCUGAUUUUGUAAGACAAAAAUCAUCAGCAGCAGCAGCAGCAUUUGAAAGAAAAAGCAGGAUUUCGGUUUUGCUUUGAUUCCUACACUCUGAAUUUUCCCUCUCUUCGUGGAUCAAGCUAAGGCUAGGGUUUUCUCUAAACGGCGCGAUCCAUCUCCAUCUCUUGGGAAUGUCGCUGUUUUUUUUUAAGGUUGAAGCGGUUACAGUAAGUAGCACCUAUAAAAAGCAUAUUGUUCGACUCUCUGUUGCACAUGAUGAAUUAAGUAGGGUGAUGAGUUGGGUUGUCAAAUGAGUUUAAGGCUUUUGAUAAUGUUAUUGAAUGAUGAAACCAUAUUGGAGGAUAUAUGAGUUGGAGCCUAAUUAAACUGGGAUUGGGCAGUUUGAUGCUCAUGCGAAUGUAGAUCAAACAAGUAGUCAUUGAGGAUGGAUGAUGAUGGUGACAUUGAUAGUUUUUUUCUCCAAUUGGAACAACAAGAAUCCAACUUAUCGUCUUUUUAUUGUCUCUUGCCUUAUCGCUGCUCUAAUUGGAAUUUUGACUAUAGCCUACAUGUGGAUUGCCAUAGUAUCAUGUCCAAUGAAACAGGUGAUAUUUGUGAUUUAGUUCUAUUCAGAAGGUUGACUCUAUCCCCUCUUCAUGUCGGGUGGAUUUUUGAGCUCCAUUAAUGAGAUGGCAUCUUCAGUAUGUGCAACUGUUAGGAGUCAGAGCAACAAGUCCAAGUAUGGAUAUGAAACCUCUGUUGACACGGGAAAUAGUGGUAGUACUGGGGGUUUUUGAGCUGACCUCAACACAAGGACCGGAGGUGAGUCUUUAUUUAUUCAGAAAGGUGCCACACCAUAGAAAAGCAAAACUUUGUGUCUCCUCCUCCAGUUGCUAUUCUACCUGCCGGAAUAGGGAAUGAUCUGGCUAGAGUUUUCUACUAAUCUUCUGCUUGAUGAUGUUUGGUUUUUAGAUAAUGCUGUAAAUUGAGAGAGGCAAGUGCAUAGGGUUGCAAGACUAAGAAAGAAACUGUGUUUGUAUAGUGCAGUGGCCAACAGCUUUAUUUUUAGGGAGUUUCACUAAAACACCCAAAAUGGGAGCUGAAAUUAUAAAAAAAC